UACAGAGGGUGCGAGCGUUGUCCGGAAUCACUGGGCGUAAAGGGCGCGUAGGCGGCUUUUCAAGCGUGCGGUGAAAGCUCGGGGCUUAACUCCGAGUCUGCCGUGCGAACUGGGAGGCUUGAGUCUGGUAGAGGUCGAUGGAAUUCCGGGUGUAGCGGUGGAAUGCGUAGAGAUCCGGAAGAACACCGGUGGCGAAGGCGGUCGACUGGGCCAGUACUGACGCUGAGGCGCGACAGCGUGGGGAGCGAACAGG
rnacentral:rRNA from 1 species